rnacentral:siRNA from 1 species
CGAGAAUGGAACCAGGAC